rnacentral:rRNA from 1 species
UGAACGCUAGCUACAGGCUUAACACAUGCAAGUCGAGGGGUCUCGAGGGAGCUUGCUCUUGAGAGACGACCGGCGCACGGGUGAGUAACGCGUAUCCAACCUGCCCUUCAUAUUGGGAUAGCCUUCCGAAAGGGGAGAUUAAUACCGAAUAACAUGAGAAGAUUGCAUGAACCUCUCAUGAAAGCUCCGGCGAUGAAGGAUGGGGAUGCGUAGGAUUAGGUAGUAGGCGGGGUAACGGCCCACCUAGCCGACGAUCCUUAGGGGUUCUGAGAGGAAGGUCCCCCACACUGGCACUGAGACACGGACCAGACUCCUACGGGAGGCAGCAGUGAGGAAUACUGGUCAAUGGGCGGAAGCCUGAACCAGCCAAGUAGCGUGAAGGAUUACUGCCCUACGGGUUUUAAACUUCUUUUAUGCGAGAGUAAUGUGCGCUACGUGUAGCGUAUUGCAAGUAUCGCAUGAAUAAGCAUCGGCUAACUCCGUG